rnacentral:lncRNA from 1 species
UUUAAUAUAAUUAUUGUCUUCUAGACAAUAUCCACUCUCAGAAUAAGUCCUCAUUACAUUUAUUGUCACACUAUUUAACAGAAUAGUGAGGACUACUAAUACUAUCAUCUGGACCGUCACUCCGUUCUCCGACUAGUCCCGGCUACGUUCUCAUUUUCUGAAGAGAACAGUGAAAGAAAGGGUGAGCUCAACUAGCCCAGUAAGAAAUAUUAUGACUAAGAUAAUGCAGAAUAAAUUAUCAUUAGUCUUCAAC